UGCAACAUUGGUUCUCAGGUCAAACACUUCUCUAUAGUUUCACUUUCCUUUGUGACUACAGCUUAGAUCAACAUUCUUGUACAGUUCAUUUUACGUAAGGAUAUAAGAGCAGAUGAAGUAGGUCAUAGCAAAGAUCUAUAUAGCUCGAUAUCUCUCAGGAGUGACAAGCAAUGGACAUUACUGGAAACUGGCUGCCUGGGACUCCCCACUUGUGGCUGAAGUUGGAUUUUCCCUUGAAGGGGGAAGUUUUCCGGAGCAGAAGGAACUCACAGAGAAAUGAAUAUAAGUCUCCAGAUAAACUGAGCAUUGAGCAGAUUCCCCAAGGGACUAACAGAGGGACAAUGAAUUUCUUCCCUUGAACUACCUCUUCUAUGAACACUGUGUUCACACAACAGAAAAAAAAGAAAGAAAAAGAAAAGAAAAAAAGAAAAACAAAGCAAACACUGAAAAGUAUGAACAAGAGCAUCAGAGGCAGAUACGAAAGCAGGGAUAAUGAGUAUCAGCUAUGCACACUUCUUUUGGCUGAUGCACCAGCUGAUCUCAGUAAGACUAAGGAGAAUCAAAGGACAAUGUUCUGCUCUACCACUCCUAAGAAAUAGAGAGAACAGCUGAAACUCUCAGGAAAGCUGGAAGAGAGAAGUUGGGCCAGGCAAGGAUUUUCAGAUCUAGUCCAGAAUGUUUCUGGUGGAGGUAACCCAGAACAGGACAGGAUAUGCAAAUCCAACUGGACAUGGAAAGAGUCAGUCUGUGCCUGCAGAUACAGCUUUCCUGUGGGGUUACGUGUCAUGUGCAAUACAGCUUCAAGCUGAAAAGCUGAACUGCUUUCCCACACGGUGGUUGCUCAGGAGCUCUGCUGUGGGCAAGGAAAAAGUGAAGCACAUUUGACUUUUGAUGAGACCACUACCAUUUCCUUCUCAUCGCAGAUUCCCCACCUCAAGAAGAACUCAGCAGAGUUCAGAGGAAGGUGAGCAGUGGGUGACACUGACUGAUGAUAAUGACAACAUCAAAAAAUUAGUCAAAAAGGUGGAUAUCCAAACAGGUCUUAGAAGACGCAGACAAAUAUGCAUUCCCACUCCUGUUUCAAACAAUAUAAACGUUAUUUUCUUAAGCUUUUAUAUGAACCCCAGGAUGUAAACAUAAGUGGACAGCUUUCUAAAACACAGCUAUAUUGUGGAAGUGAG
ensembl:lncRNA